ACUCUCAGAUAGAUGCCAGUUUCUGUUUGACUAAGGUGGUUUAUGUUUGUCUUUUCUCUCAUUCAGGCUAUCUGGGGUUGCGUUUUACAUUGAUACUUUCCCUGCACUGCUGAACUUCGCACUCAAACUACGGUGUGCCACCAACCUCUGCUCGCAUGACAUGGACGAUUACGGAUGCUCGUGCAGAUUCGCAGCGGAGGGACAGCCCGUGGAUGCAUUGGACAGAUAGUGUUAUACACACAGAAGAUGCUAUCAGACCGUAACUGCUAAGAGCUGCAGAUAGGAACGUGUGAGCAUUUCAAAGAACUUCACCUACUCUAAGGGAAACACCACCAACUGUGGUAAAAAAAAGUUAAUCAGCCGUACCAGUGACUGUCCGGGAGAUUCCUCUAAUGCCAGCAGCAGUUUUGUGAAUGUGACAGGGCUGCCAUUGAGUGCAUGGUUCAAAAGCCCCUACAACUCUGCAAUGACAGGCCUGGCUGGACAAUACUGUUCAAUAGAAGAACAAACAGUUGCAGAUUGGGGACAGGUGGAGCUGAUUGGGUCGUUAAGGUGACAAGUUGCACCUGGGAUCUUGGGAUCAACUAGGAGAUAAAAGUUCCUGGUGCCCAGUCCUGGCUCUCUCUCCACAAGCACUGUUUUGAUAUGGUUGAUUGGUUUUUGAUUAGGUGCACCCUUCAACACUUACACACAUUUGACCUUCAUCAUGCAUCUCCAUUACACCCCUCACAUGCCUACUUUCACACUUCACAGGUUAGUUUUCCUCUGUGGUUUUGUACUUUGUUGGUGGUUUAAUAAAUAUUUUUGUUACUCUAA